AGACUCCUACGGGAGGCAGCAGUAGGGAAUUUUGCGCAAUGGACGAAAGUCUGACGCAGCAAUACCGUGUGAGGGAUGAAGCAUUUCGGUGUGUAAACCUCUGUCGAUGAUGAAUAAAGCAUUCGAGAGUGGAAAGCUCGGGUGUUGAAGGUAAUCAUGAAGGAAGCACCGGCUAACUCUGUGCCAGCAGCCGCGGUAAUACAGGGGGUGCAAGCGUUGUUCGGAAUUACUGGGCGUAAAGGGAGCGUAGGCGGAUCUACAAGACAGUGGUUAAAUCUCCGGGCUCAACCUGGAACUUGCCUUUGUGACUGUGGAUCUUGAGUAUGGUAGAGGUUGGCGGAAUUUCCGGUGUAGCGGUGGAAUGCGUAGAGAUCGGAAAGAACACCAGAGGCGAAGGCGGCCAACUGGACCAAUACUGACGCUGAGGCUCGAAAGCGUGGGGAGCAAACAGGAUUAGAUACCCUGGUAGUCCACGCUGUAAACGAUGAACACUAGAUGUCGGGA
rnacentral:rRNA from 1 species